GGGGGGUCAGGGACCAACACUCACAUUGCCAUAGGGGACACAACGUCUGUGCAGCACGGGAAUCCCCACCUCCAAGCCAUUCAUGGGCUGGCAGCAGCAGCAUACCCCACAGUACCCAGAGCAGGUGAUGGAUGGUUGCAUAAGAGAUGGGAACUUGGUGGUGGAAAAGAAUACCAAGACAAAGACGAUCAGAAGUAAUGGGCGGAAUGCGGCACACCAGAGAAAGCGCCAGAGGGUGGGGCCAUGCUCAGGCUAGCAGGCUGUGAUCGUGCGGUCAGGCUUGCAGGGAAACCUGUUGUAUAGACCACCAUGGGGGCGCCCAGAGAAGAGAGAAACCAGGGAAAGCACAGCAGUGGAUCGUGGCUCCUCCUUGGUGGAUGCUCUUGAGGGAAGCUGGUGGGGUGCCGCAUUUGUGAAUGAGGGGACUGAAUUGCAGUUAAUAAAUCUAUGACCUCUGGUCCCUUCAAAUCUUCCAAAA